rnacentral:rRNA from 1 species
UCCACCCUACGGGGCGCAGCAGUGGGGGAUAUUGCACAAUGGAGGAAACUCUGAUGCAGCAACGCCGCGUGAGGGAAGACGGUCUUCGGAUUGUAAACCUCUGUCUUUGGGGAAGAAAAUGACGGUACCCAAAGAGGAAGCUCCGGCUAACUACGUGCCAGCAGCCGCGGUAAUACGUAGGGAGCGAGCGUUGUCCGGAAUUACUGGGGGUAAAGGGAGCGUAGGCGGGCGCGAAAGUUGAAUGUUAAAUCUACCGGCUUA